rnacentral:rRNA from 1 species
GACGAACCGUGCAAACGUUGUUCGGAUUCACUGGGCUUAAAGGGCGCGUAGGCGGACGGUCCAGUCGGGGGGUGAAAUACUUUCCGCUUAACGGGAAAAGUGCCUCCGAUACUGAUCGUCGUCGAGGGAGGUAGGGGCAGUGUGGAACUUCCGGUGGAGCGGUGAAAUGCGUAGAUAUCGGAAGGAACGGCCGGUGGCGAAAGCGAGCGGUGCUGGACCUCUUCUGACGCUGAGGCGCGAAAGCCAGGGGAGGCGAACGGG